rnacentral:rRNA from 1 species
AUGCACGCUGGCGGCGUGCCUAAUCCAUGCAAGUCGCACGAAACUUCUUUAUCACCGAGUGCUUGCACUCACCGAUAAAGAGUUGAGUGGCGAACGGGUGAGUAACACGUGGGCAACCUGCCCAAAAGAGGGGGAUAACACUUGGAAACAGGUGCUAAUACCGCAUAACCAUAGUUACCGCAUGGUAACUAUGUAAAAGGUGGCUGUACUACCGCUUUUGGAUGGGCCCGCGGCGCAUUAGCUAGUUGGUAGGGUAAAGGCUUACCAAGGCAAUGAUGCGUAGCCGAAUUGAGAGGUUGAUCGGCCACAUUGGGACUGAGACACGGCCCAAACUCCUACGGGAGGCAGCAGUAGGGAAUCUUCCACAAUGGGCGAAAGCCUGAUGGAGCAACGCCGCGUGGGUGAAGAAGGUCUUCGGAUCGUAAAACCCUGUUGUUAGAGAAGAAAGUGCGUGAGAGUAACUGUUCACGUUUCGACGGUAUCUAACCAGAAAGCCACGGCUAACUACGUG